rnacentral:rRNA from 1 species
AUUGAACGCUGGCGGCAGGCCUAACACAUGCAAGUCGAACGAGUGGCGGACGGGUGAGUAAUGUCUGGGAAACUGCCUGAUGGAGGGGGAUAACUACUGGAAACGGUAGCUAAUACCGCAUACCAUCAGAUGUGCCCAGAUGGGAUUAGCUAGUUGGUGGGGUAACGGCUCACAAAGGCGACGAUCCCUAGCUGGUCUGAGAGGAUGACCAGCCACACUGGAACUGAGACCCGUGCCAGACUCCUACGGGAGGCCGCAGUGGGGAAUAUUGCACAAUGGGCGCAAGCCUGAUGCAGCCAUGCCGCGUGUAUGAGGAAGGCCUUCGGGUUGUAAAGUACUUUCAGCAGGGAGGCGUUACCCGCACAAAAAGCACCGGCUAACUCCGUGCCAGCAGCCGCGGUAAUUC